GUAGGUGGCAAGCGUUGUCCGGAAUUAUUGGGGCGUAAAGCGCGCGCAGGCGGUUCUUUAAGUCUGAUGUGAAAGCCCACGGGCUCAACCGUGGAGGGUCAUUGGAAACUGGAGAACUUGAGUACAGAAGAGGAAAGCGGAAUUCCACGUGUAGCGGUGAAAUGCGUAGAGAUGUGGAGGAACACCAGUGGCGAAGGCGGCUUUCUGGUCUGUAACUGACGCUGAGGCGCGAAAGCGUGGGGAGCAAACAGGAUUAGAUACCCUGGUAGUCCACGCCGUAAACGAUGAGUGCUAAGUGUUAGGGGGUUUCCGCCCCUUAGUGCUGCAGCUAACGCAUUAAGCACCCCGCCUGGGGAGUACGGCCGCAAAGGCUGA
rnacentral:rRNA from 1 species